rnacentral:rRNA from 1 species
GGGUUGUGAGGUUAAGCGACUAAGCGUACACGGUGGAUGCCCUGGCAGUCAGAGGCGAUGAAGGACGUGCUAAUCUGCGAAAAGCGUCGGUAAGGUGAUAUGAACCGUUAUAACCGGCGAUGUCCGAAUGGGGAAACCCAGUGCAAUUCGUUGCACUAUCGUUAACUGAAUACAUAGGUUAACGAGGCGAACCGGGGGAACUGAAACAUCUAAGUACCCCGAGGAAAAGAAAUCAACCGAGAUUCCCCCAGUAGCGGCGAGCGAACGGGGAGCAGCCCAGAGUCUGAAUCAGCUUGUGUGUUAGUGGAACGGUCUGGAAAGUCCGACGGUACAGGGUGAUAGUCCCGUACACCAAAAUGCACAGGUUGUGAACUCGAAGAGUAGGGCGGGACACGUGGUAUCCUGUCUGAAUAUGGGGGGACCAUCCUCCAAGGCUAAAUACUCCUGACUGACCGAUAGUGAACCAGUACCGUGAGGGAAAGGCGAAAAGAACCCCGGCGAGGGGAGUGAAAAAGAACCUGAAACCGUGUACGUACAAGCAGUGGGAGCACCUUCGNNNUCCUGACUGACCGAUAGUGAACCAGUACCGUGAGGGAAAGGCGAAAAGAACCCCGGCGAGGGGAGUGAAAAAGAACCUGAAACCGUGUACGUACAAGCAGUGGGAGCACCUUCGGGUGUGACUGCGUACCUUUUGUAUAAUGGGUCAGCGACUUAUAUUCUGUAGCAAGGUUAACCGUAUAGGGGAGCCGCAGGGAAACCGAGUCUUAACUGGGCGUUAAGUUGCAGGGUAUAGACCCGAAACCCGGUGAUCUAGCCAUGGGCAGGUUGAAGGUUGGGUAACACUAACUGGAGGACCGAACCGACUAAUGUUGAAAAAUUAGCGGAUGACUUGUGGCUGGGGGUGAAAGGCCAAUCAAACCGGGAGAUAGCUGGUUCUCCCCGAAAGCUAUUUAGGUAGCGCCUCGUGAAUUCAUCUUCGGGGGUAGAGCACUGUUUCGGCUAGGGGGUCAUCCCGACUUACCAACCCGAUGCAAACUACGAAUACCGAAGAAUGUUAUCACGGGAGACACACGGCGGGUGCUAACGUCCGUCGUGAAGAGGGAAACAACCCAGACCGCCAGCUAAGGUCCCAAAGUCAUGGUUAAGUGGGAAACGAUGUGGGAAGGCACAGACAGCCAGGAUGUUGGCUUAGAAGCAGCCAUCAUUUAAAGAAAGCGUAAUAGCUCACUGGUCGAGUCGGCCUGCGCGGAAGAUGUAACGGGGCUAAACCAUGCACCGAAGCUGCGGCAGCGACACGAUGUGUUGUUGGGUAGGGGAGCGUUCUGUAAGCCUGCGAAGGUGGCCUGUGAGGGUUGCUGGAGGUAUCAGAAGUGCGAAUGCUGACAUAAGUAACGAUAAAGCGGGUGAAAAGCCCGCUCGCCGGAAGACCAAGGGUUCCUGUCCAACGUUAAUCGGGGCAGGGUGAGUCGACCCCUAAGGCGAGGCCGAAAGGCGUAGUCGAUGGGAAACAGGUUAAUAUUCCUGUACUUGGUGUUACUGCGAAGGGGGGACGGAGAAGGCUAUGUUAGCCGGGCGACGGUUGUCCCGGUUUAAGCAUGUAGGCUGGUUAUCCAGGCAAAUCCGGAUAAUCAAGGCUGAGGUGUGAUGACGAGGUACUACGGUACUGAAGUAACAAAUGCCCUGCUUCCAGGAAAAGCCUCUAAGCAUCAGGUAACAUCAAAUCGUACCCCAAACCGACACAGGUGGUCAGGUAGAGAAUACCAAGGCGCUUGAGAGAACUCGGGUGAAGGAACUAGGCAAAAUGGUGCCGUAACUUCGGGAGAAGGCACGCUGGUGUGUAGGUGAAGUCCCUGCGGAUGGAGCUGAGACCAGUCGAAGAUACCAGCUGGCUGCAACUGUUUAUUAAAAACACAGCACUGUGCAAACACGAAAGUGGACGUAUACGGUGUGACGCCUGCCCGGUGCCGGAAGGUUAAUUGAUGGGGUUAUCCGUAAGGAGAAGCUCUUGAUCGAAGCCCCGGUAAACGGCGGCCGUAACUAUAACGGUCCUAAGGUAGCGAAAUUCCUUGUCGGGUAAGUUCCGACCUGCACGAAUGGCGUAAUGAUGGCCAGGCUGUCUCCACCCGAGACUCAGUGAAAUUGAACUCGCUGUGAAGAUGCAGUGUACCCGCGGCAAGACGGAAAGACCCCGUGAACCUUUACUAUAGCUUGACACUGAACAUUGAGCCUUGAUGUGUAGGAUAGGUGGGAGGCUUUGAAGCGUGGACGCCAGUCUGCGUGGAGCCAACCUUGAAAUACCACCCUUUAAUGUUUGAUGUUCUAACGUGGGCCCCUUAUCGGGGUUGCGGACAGUGUCUGGUGGGUAGUUUGACUGGGGCGGUCUCCUCCCAAAGCGUAACGGAGGAGCACGAAGGUUAGCUAAUCCUGGUCGGACAUCAGGAGGUUAGUGCAAUGGCAUAAGCUAGCUUGACUGCGAGCGUGACGGCGCGAGCAGGUGCGAAAGCAGGUCAUAGUGAUCCGGUGGUUCUGAAUGGAAGGGCCAUCGCUCAACGGAUAAAAGGUACUCCGGGGAUAACAGGCUGAUACCGCCCAAGAGUUCAUAUCGACGGCGGUGUUUGGCACCUCGAUGUCGGCUCAUCACAUCCUGGGGCUGAAGUAGGUCCCAAGGGUAUGGCUGUUCGCCAUUUAAAGUGGUACGCGAGCUGGGUUUAGAACGUCGUGAGACAGUUCGGUCCCUAUCUGCCGUGGGCGCUGGAGAAUUGAGGGGGGCUGCUCCUAGUACGAGAGGACCGGAGUGGACGCAUCACUGGUGUUCGGGUUGUCAUGCCAAUGGCACUGCCCGGUAGCUAAAUGCGGAAGAGAUAAGUGCUGAAAGCAUCUAAGCACGAAACUUGCCCCGAGAUGAGUUCUCCCUGAGACUUUAAGUCUCCUGAAGGAACGUUGAAGACGACGACGUUGAUAGGCCGGGUGUGUAAGCGCAGCGAUGCGUUGAGCUAACCGGUACUAAUGAACCGUGAGGCUUAACCUUACAACGCCGAAG